rnacentral:lncRNA from 1 species
AAUCUCCCCCUUUGUCAAAUUUUGGCUAAAACAAUCCUUGCAUAGACCAACAGGAAUGAGGGUAAGGAUCAUAGAAAUAAACCAUCAUGAAACACCCGAAAUCCUUUUUCUCUUAAGAACACCAGAGGCAGGCACAAUGAAAAAAAUGCCUCAUACUAUCUCCCACGAAGACCCUACCUAAGAGAGAAAAAUAAGUUCACUUUAGCCAGGAUGUCAGGAUAUUGUUCCUAACAUUAUUAACAUUA